rnacentral:rRNA from 1 species
AACGAACGCUGGCGGCAUGCCUAACACAUGCAAGCCGAACGAUGGUCUUCGGAUCAUAGUGGCGCACGGGUGCGUAACGCGUGGGAAUCUGCCCUUGGGUUCGGAAUAACAGUUGGAAACGACUGCUAAUACCGGAUGAUGUCGAUAAGACCAAAGAUUUAUCGCCCGAGGAUGAGCCCGCGUCGGAUUAGCUAGUUGGUGGGGUAAAGGCCUACCAAGGCGACGAUCCGUAGCUGGUCUGAGAGGAUGAUCAGCCACACUGGGACUGAGACACGGCCCAGACUCCUACGGGAGGCAGCAGUGGGGAAUAUUGGACAAUGGGCGCAAGCCUGAUCCAGCAAUGCCGCGUGAGUGAUGAAGGCCUUAGGGUUGUAAAGCUCUUUUACCCGGGAAGAUAAUGACUGUACCGGGAGAAUAAGCCCCGGCUAACUCCGUG